rnacentral:lncRNA from 1 species
CAGGCUCUGCUUCCUAAACAAAGGCUGCUUUUUCCCUGCCUUUCCACACACCCUGAUGCAACAAAAUUCAACAUGCUCUUCCCAGCCACUCGCUUGUCCUCAUAAGCUGCUCAUGUGAGUGCUAGGUGUAGACAUUUCCCCUGUAGACCAUAGGGAUCCUGCUGGCCUAAAUCCAACUGAGAGAAGAGGCAGUUCUAGAGACUGAGAACAGAGAGACACAGGGUGUCUCAUGCCUCUGCUGGACUCGGACCCGAAGAGCUGCAGAACAUAGAACAUUUGGAAUGCCUAUGCUAGAGAAGGUGGACUGAGGCACCUAAUUCUUCACCUCUCAGCA